UACGUAGGGGGCGAGCGUUGUCCGGAGUUACUGGGCGUAAAGCGCACGCAGGCGGUCUGUUAAGUUUGGAGUGACAGUUGGUGGCUCAACCACCAAAGUGCUUUGAAAACUGAUAGACUUGAGGGCUUCAGAGGGACACGGAAUUCCGGGUGGAGUGGUGAAAUGCGUAGAGAUCCGGAGGAACACCAAAGGCGAAGGCGGAUCUCUGGGCCGAUACUGACGCUGAGGAGCGAAAGCGUGGGGAGCGAACAGG
rnacentral:rRNA from 1 species